rnacentral:tRNA from 3 species
UAUACACAAUCGCGCACCUGCUUUGGGAGCAGGGGGUCGUGGGUUCGAAUCCCGUCGCCCCG